UACGAAGGGGGCUAGCGUUGUUCGGAAUUACUGGGCGUAAAGCGUGCGCAGGCGGUUAUUUAAGUCAGGUGUGAAAGCCCUGGGCUUAACCUGGGAACUGCGUCGGAUACUGGAUGGCUUGAAUUCGGGAGAGGGAUGCAGAAUUCCAGGUGUAGCGGUGAAAUGCGUAGAUAUCUGGAGGAAUACCGGUGGCGAAGGCGGCAUCCUGGACCGACAUUGACGCUGAUGAGCGAAAGCUAGGGGAGCAAACGGG
rnacentral:rRNA from 1 species